rfam:Oryza glaberrima chromosome 4 Oglab04_0273_2, whole genome shotgun sequence.
CCUAGUUUCCGUGUCCAACAUUUGACCGUCUAUCUUAUUUGAAAAAAAUAUGAAAAAAAUUAAAAAGACAAGUCACAUAUAAAAUAUUAAUCAUGUUUUAUCAUCUAACAACAAUAAAAAUACGAAUUAUAAAAAAAUUUCAUAUAAGACGGACAGUCAAAGUUAGACACGGAAACCAAGGAUUUGCCUUUUU